rfam:Pelodiscus sinensis unplaced genomic scaffold scaffold49, whole genome shotgun sequence.
CCAAAGGCUCUUUUAAGAGCCACCAAGUUCACACUGAAAGGUGCUGU